rnacentral:rRNA from 1 species
AUUGAACGCUGGCGGCAGGCCUAACACAUGCAAGUCGAACGAGUGGCGGACGGGUUAGUAAUGUCUGGGAAACUGCCCGAUGGCGGGGGAUAACUACUGGACACGGUAGCUAAUACCAAAUCCCAUCUGAUGUGCCCAGAUGGGAUGCGCUAGUAGGUGGGGUAACGGCUCACAUAGGCGACGAUGCCUAGCUGGUCUGAGAGGAUGACCAGCCAAACUGGAACGGAGACACGGGCCAGAGUCCUACGGGAGGCAGCAGUGGGGAAUAUUGCACAAUGGGCGAAAGCCUGAGGCAGCCAUGCCGCGUGUAUGAAGAAGGCCUUCGGGUUGUAAAGUACUUUCAGCGAGGAGGCGUUACUCGCAGAAGAAGCACCGGCUAACUCCGUGCCAGCAGCCGCGGUAAUUC